AGAGUUUGAUCAUGGCUCAGAUUGAACGCUGGCGGCAGGCCUAACACAUGCAAGUCGAACGGUAACAGGAAGCAGCUUGCUGCUUUGCUGACGAGUGGCGGACGGGUGAGUAAUGUCUGGGAAACUGCCUGAUGGAGGGGGAUAACUACUGGAAACGGUGGCUAAUACCGCAUAACGUCGCAAGACCAAAGAGGGGGACCUUCGGGCCUCUUGCCAUCAGAUGUGCCCAGAUGGGAUUAGCUUGUUGGUGAGGUAACGGCUCACCAAGGCGACGAUCCCUAGCUGGUCUGAGAGGAUGACCAGCCACACUGGAACUGAGACACGGUCCAGACUCCUACGGGAGGCAGCAGUGGGGAAUAUUGCACAAUGGGCGCAAGCCUGAUGCAGCCAUGCCGCGUGUAUGAAGAAGGCCUUCGGGUUGUAAAGUACUUUCAGCGGGGAGGAAGGUGUUGCGGUUAAUAACCGCAGCAAUUGACGUUACCCGCAGAAGAAGCACCGGCUAACUCCGUGCCAGCAGCCGCGGUAAUACGGAGGGUGCAAGCGUUAAUCGGAAUUACUGGGCGUAAAGCGCACGCAGGCGGUCUGUCAAGUCGGAUGUGAAAUCCCCGGGCUCAACCUGGGAACUGCAUUCGAAACUGGCAGGCUUGAGUCUUGUAGAGGGGGGUAGAAUUCCAGGUGUAGCGGUGAAAUGCGUAGAGAUCUGGAGGAAUACCGGUGGCGAAGGCGGCCCCCUGGACAAAGACUGACGCUCAGGUGCGAAAGCGUGGGGAGCAAACAGGAUUAGAUACCCUGGUAGUCCACGCCGUAAACGAUGUCUACUUGGAGGUUGUGCCCUUGAGGCGUGGCUUCCGGAGCUAACGCGUUAAGUAGACCGCCUGGGGAGUACGGCCGCAAGGUUAAAACUCAAAUGAAUUGACGGGGGCCCGCACAAGCGGUGGAGCAUGUGGUUUAAUUCGAUGCAACGCGAAGAACCUUACCUGGUCUUGACAUCCACAGAACUUUCCAGAGAUGGAUUGGUGCCUUCGGGAACUGUGAGACAGGUGCUGCAUGGCUGUCGUCAGCUCGUGUUGUGAAAUGUUGGGUUAAGUCCCGCAACGAGCGCAACCCUUAUCCUUUGUUGCCAGCGGUCCGGCCGGGAACUCAAAGGAGACUGCCAGUGAUAAACUGGAGGAAGGUGGGGAUGACGUCAAGUCAUCAUGGCCCUUACGACCAGGGCUACACACGUGCUACAAUGGCGCAUACAAAGAGAAGCGACCUCGCGAGAGCAAGCGGACCUCAUAAAGUGCGUCGUAGUCCGGAUUGGAGUCUGCAACUCGACUCCAUGAAGUCGGAAUCGCUAGUAAUCGUGGAUCAGAAUGCCACGGUGAAUACGUUCCCGGGCCUUGUACACACCGCCCGUCACACCAUGGGAGUGGGUUGCAAAAGAAGUAGGUAGCUUAACCUUCGGGAGGGCGCUUACCACUUUGUGAUUCAUGACUGGGGUGAAGUCGUAACAAGGUAACCGUAGGGGAACCUGCGGUUGGAUCACCU
rnacentral:rRNA from 2 species